UAUAUGAAAUCCAGACAAGCAAGAAACAGGGUAAGCAGCAUCCUCAAUGACAAUCAGAGGAGGAUUACUGACCCACAGCAGAUCCAACAGGAAUUCAUUCACUUCUUCCACCAGCUACUAGGCACAUCAGCUGAACAACUUCCAGGAAUAGACGUUAAUAUGGUAAGGGAUGGACCAUGCCUCUCACUGCACCAGCAACAACAUGAAUUCAUUCACUUCUUCCACCAGCUACUAGGCACAACAGCUGGGCAACUUCCAGGAAUAGACAUUAAUGUGGCAAGGGAUGGACCCUGUCUCUCACUGCACCAGCAACAGCAAAUGUUAACCCCAGUACAAGGAAAGAAAUACUCCAAAUAGUGCAGCACCUUCCCAAUGAUAAGGCUCCA
rnacentral:lncRNA from 1 species